AGCAGCCGCGGUAAUUCCAGCUCCAAUAGCGUAUAUUAAAGUUGUUGCAGUUAAAAAGCUCGUAGUUGAAUUUCGGGAUCAGUACGCCGGUCGUGCCUUCGGUAUGCACUGGUGUCACUGGUUUCUCCCUUCUGAAGAACCAUCAUGCCAUUAAGUUGGUGUGGCGGGAAAUCAGGACUGUUACUUUGAAAAAAUUAGAGUGUUUAAAGCAGGCUCGCGCUUGAAUACAUUAGCAUGGAAUAAUGAAAUAGGACGUUUGACCCUAUUUUGUUGGUUUCUAGGAUCGACGUAAUGAUUAAUAGGGAUAGUUGGGGGGCAUUAGUAUUCAAUUGUCAGAGGUGAAAUUCUUGGAUUUAUUGAAGACUAACUACUGCGAAAGCAUUUGCCAAGGAUGUUUUCAUUAAUCAAGAACGAAAGUUAGGGGAUCGAAGACGAUCAGAUACCGUCGUAGUCUUAACCAUAAACUAUGCCGACUAGGGAUCGGAUGAUGUUAAUUUUUUUAAUGACUCAUUCGGCGCCU
rnacentral:misc_RNA from 2 species